GCGUUACUCUUCAGGUACGGAGUCGGGACCCUCGUCUCGUAGGACGGCAGCCUCUAGGCCGUCUGAGGUAGGUGUGUCAGGCAGCUCCUGCGAGAGAUCUUCAGAACAUCUGCUUACAGUGGGGGAGGUGUUUACCUGAUCCUUCGGAAGAUGCUGUCUAGAUCUUUCUUCAUCUCAACAAGGGUGCGGGUGUGUAGCAGGAAGCGGUCAUUCAUCUGCUGCAGUCGGACGUUUGACAGCCCGUUGAAGUUGAUCAGCAUUUCAUUCGUUUUCUCAAAUCGAUCGAGCCUGUUUCCAGGAAGGCAACAUCAAUCUCAAGACAUGAUCUUUAUUUAGUAGUAUGGAAAUAGGAAAACGCAGCAUGGCUCUCACAUGUGUCUCUGAGCCUGGAUGAUGGCGUUCACGUCCUCAGAGUUGACCAUGCUCAGCAUCCUGUUACAGAACACGCCAGAUGCUGUGGGCUCCACCAUGAUGCCGAUCCAGACCCAAAGCCUACAAACACAAACAUUUGUUUAAAAUGUGUGCCAAUAUUCAUUAAAUCAAUGUAAUUUAUUGUCACCUGCUUCGCAAACCGCACUAUAUAGUCUCCUUUUACAUUGUUUGGCUUGCUGGUACGUUAGUUUCUUUUAAUCACAGUUCUUCAGAGUUGGAGCAACGACUAACUACACACGCACCUUACCUGCCUCAAUGUUAGAGUCCGCCUGCGAAGUUGGUCCGAAAAAUCUGGGUGUUUAGUUGCUUGGUGGCUGCGGACUGAAGGUUGCCCCAACAGCUGUUCAAUAAAAACAAAGCUUUUCCGUGUUUCCUACA